CACGUAGGGCGCAAGCGUUGUCCGGAAUUAUUGGGCGUAAAGAGCUCGUAGGCGGUCUGUUGCGUCCGCCGUGAAAACUCGGGGCUUAACCCCGAGCCUGCAGUGGAUACGGGCAGACUAGAGGUAGGUAGGGGAGAAUGGAAUUCCCGGUGUAGCGGUGAAAUGCGCAGAUAUCAGGAGGAACACCAAUGGCGAAGGCAGCUCGCUGGAACGGUACUGACGCUGAGGCGCGAAAGCGUGGGGAGCGAACAGG
rnacentral:rRNA from 1 species